AAGGUGCGGGAGCGGUGAAUAUCGGGGGUGGUCAGGGAAGGCCAACACUAAGGCAACCAGAGGCUGAAGGGAGCAGCCCAUGUGGAGAUGGGCAAGGAGGCCUUCCAGGCAGAGGGAACAGUACCUGCUGAGUCCCAGAAGCAGGAGCAGGCCCUGUAGGCCGCUGUGGUCCAGGGGAAGUGGAUUUCUUUUGGGUUUGUUUUUAUUAUAUUUUAAAUUAGAGGAAUGACAUAGGUAAGUGUAUGCUUUAUGGGCACACUGUAUGGGUGAGAGGUGGGACUGGAGCAGGGCAUGGGGUAGAGAGCAGAGGGCAACUUUGAGUUUGAAAGAGGGUUGGGAGAGGGUGAGGCUGGAGUCAGGGAGGCCUGUGAGUGAGCAAAAGCCAGUCAUUCAUUCUUCCUUUCUUUAAUGCAUUUUGUAAUUUGUUUAUUCAACACAUAGUCUCUGGCUCUUACUAUAUCACAGGUACCCUGCAGGGCUCAGGGAAGACAGUGGUGAGGAGAAAGGACACAGAAGGGGGCCCUCCAGGUAUUUGCCACUAGCAGGGGGAGAGCCGGGGCUGGGGCUGGGCAGAGGGCAAAGAGCGGAGGGCCACUUUGAGGGUCACUGUUGCAGCAGAAGCCACAGGAAUUUGUGACUAAUCAGAUGUCAGGGAAAGGGACCAGGAGGAGUCAUAGUUGAGGGCAAAAUGAAAUCCUUCUGGGAGGGGCAGAAGCAGGAAAAAUAGGGCAGGUGCUGCCUGGUGGGGGCUGCGGUUCCUGCUGUCCCAGGUGGAGCAGUUAGUUGCUCAAGGCCCUGCAGGGACAGGCGGAGACUUGCAGGUCCCUCCUCCUUAGCCCUCGCAGACCCCGCCCUGAGCCUACAGUGCCUCUGCCUGCACAGGCUCUGCUGGGCCAUUCCCAGCUGCAGCGGAGGGUAAAUCCGUUUCAGGUAGGAGAGGAGCUAUUACUGACUGGACGACCUUGGGCAAUUACAUGGUCUGUCUGAGCCUCAGUUUGAGAAUCUACAAUAUGGAUUGAUAACAAUUUCAUCACAAGGCUGUGGUGAAAAUCAAAUGUGAUAAAGGCUGUGAGAAGGCAUGCUGGUCCUGAGGACAUGGGGACCACGAUCAAUGGAGAUGUGUUUCAGAAUUUUUCCUAAGGAAAUAACUGGCCAAGGACACCCAGAUUAUCUGCAGGAUGAUGUAUAAUAGCAGGCAAACGGAAACAGCCUAAGUGUCCAGCACUGGGGGCCUGGGUGGGCAAAUUGGAAACCCAUGCUGUAUGGACAUGAAAAGAAGCCGGCAAUAUAAUUGUGAUAGGUACCAGCACGAAGAUAAAAUAUGGCGCGUGCACUAACACAUUCACAAAAGAAACUGCAGUUGUUUGCAGAUGGGACUUGUAUGGAUUGGGCAGGGAUCCUGGCCGCUGGGCCUCAGGGCAGGGCUGUUCUCCCGUGACCAGGGUGGGGCUCACCCAACACAGUGAUCCAUGUGCCCUGGAAAGGCCCCUCGGGAUGUCAUGAGGCUCUAACUCAAGUCAGGAAAGAGGAAUAAGGGCUCCACCCAAAGUGCCCCACCCAAGGGUGGACCUGACCCGAGGUGCCCGGCUACACCACCCAUCCUGUGCCUGCCCCUCCCUCUCCCCAGACAGCCAGAGCCGGGUGUGUGCUCCUUCCCCCUGGCUGCCUGCACCCCUUGGGCAAACAUUUACAAAGCACUUCCUCCGAGCCGGGCACACGCUGGCUCCGGAACCUUCAUGGUGAGCACACUUGUGUGGGGAGAAGACAUUGAACGACACCGACUUCAUGACAGUUUUGAAAAGUGUCUGAAGGAGGAGCAUGGGAGCCUUGAAAGGACAGAGCAGCAGUUUAGAAGUUACAAACAGUCCUGGCCGGUGUGGCUCAGUGGUUGAGCAUCGACCUUUGAACCAGGAGGUCAUGGUUCGAUUCCCAGUCGGGCACAUGCCCAGGUUGCAGGCUCGAUCCCCAGUGUGGGGUGUGCAGGAGG